CCUGCAGCCGGAGCCCGAGGGCGAGUCAAUCCGAUCACUGGCAGCAGGAGUGUGUGUCUCUUAUAAAGCGGGGCAUGCAAAUGAGGGAGACAGUUUCCUCUUUAAAUCUCUGCCUCCCUCUGCCCAGGCUGCACCCGGAGACACAAUCCGCAGCCCCCUGGGUCUGUGCAGUCACCAGCCAGUCCCCUGAGAACUUUCCCCUCCAGCACCCGGGAAAAUGGGAUUUUUGCUCCUUGUCAUUGUCGCUCUAGCAGCUUUGGAAGGUGUCCGGUCCCAGACGCUGGUGGAGUCCGGAGGGGGUGA